rnacentral:lncRNA from 1 species
CCGGCGGUAAUGCUUGUUCACCCCACGCUCACCUCCUGCUGUGCGGCCCAGUUCCUAACAGGCCACACAGAUACUGGUCAACGGCCGGGGGCUGCGGACCCCUGCUGUAAGCCUUUUCUUCACCCAGCAAGAUUUAGUGUUGUUCAUCCGAAGAGCUCAAUUCUUAUUAUGGACACAAAUGAAUUGAUCUAACCAGCAGCCCUGGGAAGUGAGAAAGACUAAUUACCCCAGGUUGUAGUUAUUUCUUGGAUGGAUGGCUUUGGGUGGAUAGCCGGGUGCUGAUAUCUCUCUGUCGGCUAGGCUGGAGUGUAGUGGUGUGAUCAUCAUGGCUCACUGUGGCCUCAAACUCCUACUAUGGACAGGAGACAGGGAAAUACUGGGUAGAAGAGGACAGUUCCCCAGCAAAGGCCCCACCCUCAAGCCUGGAUACCCAUGGCCCUAAAUGGGAACAGGCAUUUCUGUUUUUGCACCCCAAAAGUUGACUUUUGGCCCACAUGCUCCCUAUCCUGUACCCAUAUAAACCCCAAAUUCCAGGCUCCAGAGAGAGACAAGGAGAUGAGGAGACAAGCAGACGAACAGCGGAACAAUGCAGCAGAGAAAGAGAGAAGAGAAGGAACGUCUGAACGUCGAGAGGAGUUCGGCUGCUGGACGGCCAAACUCCAGGGGAAGAUCAUCUUCCCACUCCAUUCCCCCUCCAGCUCCCCAUCCAUCCCACUGAGAGCCACUUCCACCACUCAAUAAAAGCCCCACAUUUAUCCUUCAAGUCCAUGUGUGAUCCAAUUCUUCUGGGAUGCUAAACAAGAACCUGGGAUACAGAAAGCUGUCACACUGGCCCUCUGCCCUUGCAGAAAGGCAGAGGGGCCCUGAGCUGGUUGAUACUUAAGCUGUCUGUGGAUGGCAGAACUAAAAGAGCAUUGG